GAAGUAAAAGUCGUAACAAGGUUUCCGUAGGUGAACCUGCGGAAGGAUCAUUACAGUAGUCACCCGGGUUGCCGCAAGGCCUCUCGGGUAACCUACCACCCUUUGUUUAUUACACUUUGUUGCUUUGGCAAGCCUGCCCUCGGGCUGCUGGCUCCGGCCGGCGAGCGCUUGCCAGAGGACCUAAACUCUGUUUGUCUAUAAUGUCUGAGUACUAUAUAAUAGUUAAAACUUUCAACAACGGAUCUCUUGGUUCUGGCAUCGAUGAAGAACGCAGCGAAAUGCGAUAAGUAAUGUGAAUUGCAGAAUUCAGUGAAUCAUCGAAUCUUUGAACGCACAUUGCGCCCCCUGGUAUUCCGGGGGGCAUGCCUGUCCGAGCGUCAUUACAACCCUCAAGCUCAGCUUGGUAUUGGGCCCCGCCGCUUCGGCGGGCCCUAAAGUCAGUGGCGGUGCCGUCCGGCUCCGAGCGUAGUAAUUCUUCUCGCUCUGGAGGUCCGGUCGUGUGCUCGCCAGCAACCCCCAAUUUUUUUCAGGUUGACCUCGGAUCAGGUAGGGAUACCCGCUGAACUUAAGCAUA
rnacentral:rRNA from 1 species